CAGCCACAUUAUGGUGAAACACAGGUUCCCGAACGAUUACAGAAGUUAAGCAACUUUGAGCCUGGCCAGUACCUAGAUGGGUGACCGCUUGGCUAUAGCAGGUGAUGUAAG